ACGCUGGCGGCAGGCCUAACACAUGCAAGUCGAGCGGUAGCACAGAGAGCUUGCUCUCGGGUGACGAGCGGCGGACGGGUGAGUAAUGUCUGGGAAACUGCCUGAUGGAGGGGGAUAACUACUGGAAACGGUAGCUAAUACCGCAUAACGUCGCAAGACCAAAGUGGGGGACCUUCGGGCCUCAUGCCAUCAGAUGUGCCCAGAUGGGAUUAGCUAGUAGGUGGGGUAACGGCUCACCUAGGCGACGAUCCCUAGCUGGUCUGAGAGGAUGACCAGCCACACUGGAACUGAGACACGGUCCAGACUCCUACGGGAGGCAGCAGUGGGGAAUAUUGCACAAUGGGCGCAAGCCUGAUGCAGCCAUGCCGCGUGUGUGAAGAAGGCCUUCGGGUUGUAAAGCACUUUCAGCGGGGAGGAAGGCGAUAAGGUUAAUAACCUUGUCGAUUGACGUUACCCGCAGAAGAAGCACCGGCUAACUCCGUGCCAGCAGCCGCGGUAAUACGGAGGGUGCAAGCGUUAAUCGGAAUUACUGGGCGUAAAGCGCACGCAGGCGGUCUGUCAAGUCGGAUGUGAAAUCCCCGGGCUCAACCUGGGAACUGCAUUCGAAACUGGCAGGCUAGAGUCUUGUAGAGGGGGGUAGAAUUCCAGGUGUAGCGGUGAAAUGCGUAGAGAUCUGGAGGAAUACCGGUGGCGAAGGCGGCCCCCUGGACAAAGACUGACGCUCAGGUGCGAAAGCGUGGGGAGCAAACAGGAUUAGAUACCCUGGUAGUCCACGCCGUAAACGAUGUCGAUUUGGAGGUUGUGCCCUUGAGGCGUGGCUUCCGGAGCUAACGCGUUAAAUCGACCGCCUGGGGAGUACGGCCGCAAGGUUAAAACUCAAAUGAAUUGACGGGGGCCCGCACAAGCGGUGGAGCAUGUGGUUUAAUUCGAUGCAACGCGAAGAACCUUACCUGGUCUUGACAUCCACAGAACUUUCCAGAGAUGGAUUGGUGCCUUCGGGAACUGUGAGACAGGUGCUGCAUGGCUGUCGUCAGCUCGUGUUGUGAAAUGUUGGGUUAAGUCCCGCAACGAGCGCAACCCUUAUCCUUUGUUGCCAGCGGUUAGGCCGGGAACUCAAAGGAGACUGCCAGUGAUAAACUGGAGGAAGGUGGGGAUGACGUCAAGUCAUCAUGGCCCUUACGACCAGGGCUACACACGUGCUACAAUGGCAUAUACAAAGAGAAGCGACCUCGCGAGAGCAAGCGGACCUCAUAAAGUAUGUCGUAGUCCGGAUUGGAGUCUGCAACUCGACUCCAUGAAGUCGGAAUCGCUAGUAAUCGUAGAUCAGAAUGCUACGGUGAAUACGUUCCCGGGCCUUGUACACACCGCCCGUCACACCAUGGGAGUGGGUUGCAAAAGAAGUAGGUAGCUUAACCUUCGGGAGGGCGCUUACCACUUUGUGAUUCAUGACUGGGG
rnacentral:rRNA from 1 species